rnacentral:rRNA from 1 species
AUUGAACGCUGGCGGCAGGCCUAACACAUGCAAGUCGAGCGAGAGGCGGACGGGUGAGUAAUGUAUGGGAAACUGCCUGAUGGAGGGGGAUAACUACUGGAAACGGUAGCUAAUACCGCAUACCAUCAGAGGUGCCCAGAUGGGAUUAGCUAGUAGGUGGGGUAACGGGUCACCUAGGCGACGAUCCCUAGCUGGUCUGAGAGGAUGACCAGCAACACUGGAACUGAGACACGGUCCAGACUCCGACGGGAGGCAGCAGUGGGGAAUAUUGCACAAUGGGCGCAAGCCUGAUGCAGCCAUGCCGCGUGUAUGAAGAAGGCCUUCGGGUUGUAAAGUACUUUCAGCGGGGAGGCGUUACCCGCAGAAGAAGCACCGGCUAACUCCGUGCCAGCAGCCGCGGUAAUAC